GGAGUUGUGGCUCAGUGGUAGAGUGUUCGCCUAGCACGUGUGAGGCCCUGGGUUCCAUCCUCAGCACCA
rnacentral:tRNA from 1 species